AUGCACGCUGGCGGCGUGCCUCAUCCAUGCAAGUCGAGCGAACGGACGAGAAGCUUGCUUCUCUGAUGUUAGCGGCGGACGGGUGAGUAACACGUGGAUAACCUACCUAUAAGACUGGGAUAACUUCGGGAAACCGGAGCUAAUACCGGAUAAUAUUUUGAACCGCAUGGUUCAAAAGUGAAAGACGGUCUUGCUGUCACUUAUAGAUGGAUCCGCGCUGCAUUAGCUAGUUGGUAAGGUAACGGCUUACCAAGGCAACGAUGCAUAGCCGACCUGAGAGGGUGAUCGGCCACACUGGAACUGAGACACGGUCCAGACUCCUACGGGAGGCAGCAGUAGGGAAUCUUCCGCAAUGGGCGAAAGCCUGACGGAGCAACGCCGCGUGAGUGAUGAAGGUCUUCGGAUCGUAAAACUCUGUUAUUAGGGAAGAACAUAUGUGUAAGUAACUGUGCACAUCUUGACGGUACCUAAUCAGAAAGCCACGGCUAACUACGUG
rnacentral:rRNA from 1 species